CGGCCGCGUGCAAAUUGAGUAAUCUUGUCACCGCGUCAGCUAUGGUGGCUUGAAAGAAAUGCUUUGUAGCCCUUUAAAGGCAGGCUGGUCGGAAGAACUGGAAGACUGCAAAGAUAAAAAGGAACGCUGGCGGGGGGCAAGAGGUGCUGGAGGAAAAAAGUGAAAAAGAAAAUAACCGUGGUGAUGUCAAGACUUGUCAGAGAAAACUGCAUUGUCAGGCUGCAUAACUCCUUAAUCCUGGAAUGGGAAAACAAGCGCACACUAAUUUAAACGUCAAACAGAGAAAAUAAUUCAAAGGAAUCCUUCUGCCGAGGGAACUGGACUGGCAGGAGACAGGAAAAUAUGAACGCACCUUCGAUGUCUUCACAAACUGGAACCCCGAGGAAAAGCCAGAGCCAGUUUUCUAAGCUUGCUGCUCUAUGUGAGGGUUUGCUCAGACGUAGGCACCUGGGUUUAUGAGAGCAGGAGUCCUCCUUGCUCUUCACUCCACUUCCGUGAAACACACAUUUUUGUUAGAGAUCUAGCACAGUUGAGAAAACACAAAUCCUCAUGAGUUGUUGUGUGCUUGUUUCACUCUGCACCAUCUAUUCACAAGAGAGGAGAGUGUUAGAGACAACGUUUGGUAUUUAUUUGAUGGUACUUAUGACAAACAAGAUAAUCGACUAAAAUAUGUAUUCAAAAAUCCAUUUGCAACGUUGAACAAUAAUUCACUAUGCAUGAAAAAAGGUUAAAUUUGGAUCAGGGAGGCAUAACCCAGCCCAGCCCCAUCAGCAGGUGUGCAAGGGUGCCCCUCACAGUCGGCGUCGGGGCGUGCGGCCACACCUACUGCUAGGGGCGGAUGGGGCUCGGGUCUGUGCAUGGGGCAUGUUGUUACACAGAUCCGCUUGCUAGCGAGUCACACGGAUGCCCGUGUGAGGUCUGGGCUGCUGUCAGAGCAGGGCAAGUCUGCGCGCCUAUGGCGUGAGUCAGACGAAACAGGUGCUCUGCUCAGACACAGCGGAGGGCAUGCGGUGCCAGCACCACGUGGUAUAAACGCAAGCAGGGAAGUCGAGGCCACACCCAAAGGCCAGCUGCUGGGACUCUGCUAAGACAAGACAGAGGUUUCUUCUCCUUCUGCCAACCAGAGGGCUCAUCUGGAGGGGCUGGCUUUGGUCGUCGACCAGGGACAGAAAUCUUUGUGGAGGCGACUACACCCGAUUUUAAAGCUUUCAUUCUGGAAUCCAAUAGAAGUCAAAUCAAUGACUGAGGGGGAAAAACCUAGGGAUUCAGUCCUAGGUUGGUGAGAAAUUAUUUAAUAACUAUCAAAUAAAUGGGGCUUGUUCUUAGAGCCAUGUGGGCACAGCCCAGCUAGGGUGAAGCCGGUGGGCACAGGUAAGACAAAAAUAAGGAAGGCACAAGCUCUGCCCUUAGGCUCUUGAGAGUUUAAUGUAGUGUGGAGAGAAAAGAAGAACUUUGGAGGCCGUGGUGAGGCUUAAAAAAUAACCCUUCCUAGGUUUGAGCCCCACUGGCGACUCCACAGCAUGGGCUCUGUGGAUUGCCUGGCACCCCAGACACCCAUAUAAUCUAAUUCCUUAAUUGCCAUGCUGUGAUUUGAUGUGAUAUACCUGACAGGCUCUCAUUUCCUCUGUUUUCUGGAGAAGCUGACCAAGAUAACUUGUGGAAAACUCUGUAAGUGAAAGGUCUGGGCCAGCCUUCCCCACAGGCUCCCUGGAUGGGUGGAGUUUCUCCUGGAGCCAGUCUCUUUCAUGAAAGACACAUUCUCGUCCUGCCAAGUAGGGGAAUAAAUGAGGUCCAUGAGGUUUGAGAAUGCACCUUGGGUUUCUUUAUUUUGCAUGGAGAUUUGUACACAUUUAGGCAUUUCGGGG